GAUUAAGUUAUUAAGGGCGCACGGUAGAUGCCUUGGCACUAGAAGCCGAUGAAGGACGUUACUAACGACGAUAUGCUUUGGGGAGCUGUAAGUAAGCUUUGAUCCAGAGAUUUCCGAAUGGGGAAACCCAGCAUGAGUUAUGUCAUGUUAUCGAUAUGUGAAUACAUAGCAUAUCAGAAGGCACACCCGGAGAACUGAAACAUCUUAGUACCCGGAGGAAGAGAAAGAAAAUUCGAUUCCCUUAGUAGCGGCGAGCGAAACGGGAAGAGCCCAAACCAACAAGCUUGCUUGUUGGGGUUGUAGGACACUCUAUACGGAGUUACAAAGGACGACAUUAGACGAAUCAUCUGGAAAGAUGAAUCAAAGAAGGUAAUAAUCCUGUAGUCGAAAAUGUUGUCUCUCUUGAGUGGAUCCUGAGUACGACGGAGCACGUGAAAUUCCGUCGGAAUCUGGGAGGACCAUCUCCUAAGGCUAAAUACUCUCUAGUGACCGAUAGUGAACCAGUACCGUGAGGGAAAGGUGAAAAGCACCCCGGAAGGGGAGUGAAAUAGAACCUGAAACCGUGUGCUUACAAGUAGUCAGAGCCCGUUAAUGGGUGAUGGCGUGCCUUUUGUAGAAUGAACCGGCGAGUUACGAUUUGAUGCAAGGUUAAGCAGUAAAUGUGGAGCCGUAGCGAAAGCGAGUCUGAAUAGGGCGUUUAGUAUUUGGUCGUAGACCCGAAACCAGGUGAUCUACCCUUGGUCAGGUUGAAGUUCAGGUAACACUGAAUGGAGGACCGAACCGACUUACGUUGAAAAGUGAGCGGAUGAACUGAGGGUAGCGGAGAAAUUCCAAUCGAACCUGGAGAUAGCUGGUUCUCUCCGAAAUAGCUUUAGGGCUAGCCUCAAGUGAUGAUUAUUGGAGGUAGAGCACUGUUUGGACGAGGGGCCCCUCUCGGGUUACCGAAUUCAGACAAACUCCGAAUGCCAAUUAAUUUAACUUGGGAGUCAGAACAUGGGUGAUAAGGUCCGUGUUCGAAAGGGAAACAGCCCAGACCACCAGCUAAGGUCCCAAAAUAUAUGUUAAGUGGAAAAGGAUGUGGCGUUGCCCAGACAACUAGGAUGUUGGCUUAGAAGCAGCCAUCAUUUAAAGAGUGCGUAAUAGCUCACUAGUCGAGUGACACUGCGCCGAAAAUGUACCGGGGCUAAACAUAUUACCGAAGCUGUGGAUUGUCCUUUGGACAAUGGUAGGAGAGCGUUCUAAGGGCGUUGAAGCAUGAUCGUAAGGACAUGUGGAGCGCUUAGAAGUGAGAAUGCCGGUGUGAGUAGCGAAAGACGGGUGAGAAUCCCGUCCACCGAUUGACUAAGGUUUCCAGAGGAAGGCUCGUCCGCUCUGGGUUAGUCGGGUCCUAAGCUGAGGCCGACAGGCGUAGGCGAUGGAUAACAGGUUGAUAUUCCUGUACCACCUAUAAUCGUUUUAAUCGAUGGGGGGACGCAGUAGGAUAGGCGAAGCGUGCGAUUGGAUUGCACGUCUAAGCAGUAAGGCUGAGUAUUAGGCAAAUCCGGUACUCGUUAAGGCUGAGCUGUGAUGGGGAGAAGACAUUGUGUCUUCGAGUCGUUGAUUUCACACUGCCGAGAAAAGCCUCUAGAUAGAAAAUAGGUGCCCGUACCGCAAACCGACACAGGUAGUCAAGAUGAGAAUUCUAAGGUGAGCGAGCGAACUCUCGUUAAGGAACUCGGCAAAAUGACCCCGUAACUUCGGGAGAAGGGGUGCUCUUUAGGGUUAACGCCCAGAAGAGCCGCAGUGAAUAGGCCCAAGCGACUGUUUAUCAAAAACACAGGUCUCUGCUAAACCGUAAGGUGAUGUAUAGGGGCUGACGCCUGCCCGGUGCUGGAAGGUUAAGAGGAGUGGUUAGCUUCUGCGAAGCUACGAAUCGAAGCCCCAGUAAACGGCGGCCGUAACUAUAACGGUCCUAAGGUAGCGAAAUUCCUUGUCGGGUAAGUUCCGACCCGCACGAAAGGCGUAACGAUUUGGGCACUGUCUCAACGAGAGACUCGGUGAAAUCAUAGUACCUGUGAAGAUGCAGGUUACCCGCGACAGGACGGAAAGACCCCGUGGAGCUUUACUGUAGCCUGAUAUUGAAAUUCGGCACAGCUUGUACAGGAUAGGUAGGAGCCUUUGAAACGUGAGCGCUAGCUUACGUGGAGGCGCUGGUGGGAUACUACCCUAGCUGUGUUGGCUUUCUAACCCGCACCACUUAUCGUGGUGGGAGACAGUGUCAGGCGGGCAGUUUGACUGGGGCGGUCGCCUCCUAAAAGGUAACGGAGGCGCUCAAAGGUUCCCUCAGAAUGGUUGGAAAUCAUUCAUAGAGUGUAAAGGCAUAAGGGAGCUUGACUGCGAGACCUACAAGUCGAGCAGGGUCGAAAGACGGACUUAGUGAUCCGGUGGUUCCGCAUGGAAGGGCCAUCGCUCAACGGAUAAAAGCUACCCCGGGGAUAACAGGCUUAUCUCCCCCAAGAGUUCACAUCGACGGGGAGGUUUGGCACCUCGAUGUCGGCUCAUCGCAUCCUGGGGCUGUAGUCGGUCCCAAGGGUUGGGCUGUUCGCCCAUUAAAGCGGUACGCGAGCUGGGUUCAGAACGUCGUGAGACAGUUCGGUCCCUAUCCGUCGUGGGCGUAGGAAAUUUGAGAGGAGCUGUCCUUAGUACGAGAGGACCGGGAUGGACAUACCUCUGGUGUACCAGUUGUCGUGCCAACGGCAUAGCUGGGUAGCUAUGUGUGGACGGGAUAAGUGCUGAAAGCAUCUAAGCAUGAAGCCCCCCUCAAGAUGAGAUUUCCCAACUUCGGUUAUAAGAUCCCUCAAAGAUGAUGAGGUUAAUAGGUUCGAGGUGGAAGCAUGGUGACAUGUGGAGCUGACGAAUACUAAUCGAUCGAAGACUUAAUCAA
rnacentral:rRNA from 1 species